rnacentral:rRNA from 1 species
AUUGAACGCUGGCGGCAGGCUUAACACAUGCAAGUCGAACGAGUGGCGGACGGGUGAGUAAUGCUUGGGAAUCUAGCUUAUGGAGGGGGAUAACUACGGGAAACUGUAGCUAAUACCGCGUACCAUAGGAUGAGCCCAAGUUGGAUUAGGUAGUUGGUGAGGUAAAGGCUCACCAGGCCGACGAUCCCGAGCUGGUCUGAGAGGAUGACCGGCCACAUUGGAACUGAGAACCGGCCCAGACUCCAAGGGGGGGUGAAAGGGGGGAAUUUUGGGCAUUGGGGGCAACCUGACGCAGCCAGGCCGCGUGAAUGAAGAGGGCCUUCGGGCUGUAAAGUUCGUUCGGUAGCGAGGCGUUAACUACAGAAGAAGCACCGGCUAACUCCGUGCCAGCCGCCGCGGUAAUAC